CAGCAGCCGCGGUAAUACGGAGGGUGCAAGCGUUAAUCGGAAUUACUGGGCGUAAAGCGCACGCAGGCGGUUUGUUAAGUCAGAUGUGAAAUCCCCGAGCUUAACUUGGGAACUGCAUUCGAAACUGGUAAGCUAGAGUCUUGUAGAGGGGGGUAGAAUUCCAGGUGUAGCGGUGAAAUGCGUAGAGAUCUGGAGGAAUACCGGUGGCGAAGGCGGCCCCCUGGACAAAGACUGACGCUCAGGUGCGAAAGCGUGGGGAGCAAACAGGAUUAGAUACCCCUGUAGUCCCUGUCUCUUAUAC
rnacentral:rRNA from 1 species